rnacentral:lncRNA from 1 species
UCUCGUUCAGACGAGGCGCCUUUUAUAGGACAAAACCGUGAGGGUAGGGGGCAACCUCCGCGGACCCCCGCGCCGUCAGGGCUCGGGACUGUCAUUGGGACUGUCAUUGGGCUCCGGCCCUGGGCGACCUCCCUGGGCGACCUCCCGCAGACCCGAAGCGGCAAUCCCAGAGCGGACAAUACCUCGGAAGGGACGCAGAUGCUUUCCCUGCUCGGCCGGUGUGUGGGCUGGUGUCGGGGUUCCGACCCCACAUCA